AUACGUAGGGGGCGAGCGUUGUCCGGAAUGAUUGGGCGUAAAGGGCGCGUAGGCGGCCCGGUAAGUCUGGAGUGAAAGUCCUGUUUUUAAGAUGGGAAUUGCUUUGGAUACUGUCGGGCUUGAGUGCAGGAGAGGUAAGUGGAAUUCCCAGUGUAGCGGUGAAAUGCGUAGAGAUUGGGAGGAACACCAGUGGCGAAGGCGACUUACUGGACUGUAACUGACGCUGAGGCGCGAAAGUGUGGGGAGCAAACAGGAUUAGAUACCCUGGUAGUCCACACUGUAAACGAUGAAUGCUAGGUGUAGGGGGUAUCGACCCCUUCUGUGCCGCAGUCAACACAAUAAGCAUUCCGCCUGGGGAGUACGGCCGCAAGGUUGAAACUUAAAGGAAUCGGCGGGG
rnacentral:rRNA from 1 species